rnacentral:rRNA from 1 species
UGGACGCAAGUCUGAUGGAGCAACGCCGCGUGAGUGAAGAAGGGUUUCGGCUCGUAAAGCUCUGUUGGUAGUGAAGAAAGAUAGAGGUAGUAACUGGCCUUUAUUUGACGGUAAUUACUUAGAAAGUCACGGCUAACUACGUGCCAGCAGCCGCGGUAAUACGUAGGUGGCAAGCGUUGUCCGGAUUUAUUGGGCGUAAAGCGAGUGCAGGCGGUUCAAUAAGUCUGAUGUGAAAGCCUUCGGCUCAACCGGAGAAUUGCAUCAGAAACUGUUGAACUUGAGUGCAGAAGAGGAGAGUGGAACUCCAUGUGUAGCGGUGGAAUGCGUAGAUAUAUGGAAGAACACCAGUGGCGAAGGCGGCUCUCUGGUCUGCAACUGACGCUGAGGCUCGGAAGCAUGGGUAGCGAACAGGAUUAGAUACCCUGGUAGUCCAUGCCGUAAACGAUGAGUGCUAAGUGUUGGGAGGUUUCCGCCUCUCAGUGCUGCAGCUAACGCAUUAAGCACUCCGCCUGGGGAGUACGACCGCAAGGUUGAAACUCAAAGGAAUUGACGGGGGCCCGCACAAGCGGUGGAGCAUGUGGUUUAAUUCGAAGCAACGCGAAGAACCUUACCAGGUCUUGACAUCCAGUGCAAACCUAAGAGAUUAGGUGU